GGCUCGCGAUAGGAGGGAGGUUGGAGUAUGUUAUCUUUGUAAGAAGAUUUUCGUCGAGGACGAGGGGAAUGAACAAAAAAAUGACACCGUAUAGAGAGGGGUCGGAGAAAAAUGACGAACAGACCCGUAAGCGAUAAAGGACUUUGGCGGGAAGAUUUAAAUCGAUUACAGGACAAAAAUUCUCUAUCGGCGAUCGUGUUAGCUGUCGUCGAUUCGGAACGCCAGGGUGCUCUGCGUAUCCUGGAGACAUAUUUCAACAAUGUUGAUGAAGGCUAGAAAAAAGAAAAAUGGUCAACAGAAAAGAAGAAGCAUAGAAAUGAAAUCAGUAAUCCGACGAGACCCGACGGGUACAUAAUGGAGAUACCCAUAUCGAUGGUUAUAAGAAGUGGGAACAAUGAAUGAACUGAAUAAUAGGAGACGAAAGAAAAAGAGGAGAGACACGAAAUAAGGAGGACAAGAAAGAGAAAAGUAAUACCACUAGCUGAUAACGGUGGAAUAAUGCGAACAAUUUUACAGGCACAAAAGGACGCCCUCGCGAUAAAACGGCGCGAAAAUCAAACAGACGAGAGGACAGUUAAGUAGGUGGGUAUAGGUAGGGAUAAGAUCGUUUCAGGGAUGGCUGAUGGCGAAUGUGUGAAGGAAUGCAGAAAUUGUGUGGAAGGUGAAGAGACGAGAAGCGAAGGUUGAGAAGUAGAACGACCCGAAGCCCGUAAAGUACCGUAAAGUCGUAGGCUUUUCGCUGAGACAUUAAGCGGCGGACUUCUCGACAUGGGAAAUUCGCGCGUUUGAAUAUUACUCACGCUCAAUUAAACUCAUAGAGCUGCGGCCUACCCGAAAGGCCAUAAUGGCAUAAUAAUUGAUCGAGGCCUUUAGAGUAACUGCGCACACAAACUGCCUCCCCUGUAUUCCAUCGCCAUUUGACUUCGUACUGACUACCGGAAGAGAAAUAUAUUUUGGUCGUAUAUCAAAAAAAAAAAAAAAAGGCGAGGAUAAUAA